rnacentral:rRNA from 1 species
UGGGGAAUUUUGGACAAUGGGGGAAACCCUGAUCCAGCCAUGCCGCGUGAGUGAAGAAGGCCUUCGGGUUGUAAAGCUCUUUCAGCCGGAACGAAACGGUCACGGCUAAUACCUGUGAUCACUGACGGUACCGGAAGAAGAAGCACCGGCUAACUACGUGCCAGCAGCCGCGGUAAUACGUAGGGUGCAAGCGUUAAUCGGAAUUACUGGGCGUAAAGCGUGCGCAGGCGGUUUUGUAAGUCAGAUGUGAAAUCCCCGGGCUUAACCUGGGAACUGCGUUUGAAACUACAAGGCUAGAGUGUAGCAGAGGGGGGUGGAAUUCCACGUGUAGCAGUGAAAUGCGUAGAGAUGUGGAGGAACACCGAUGGCGAAGGCAGCCCCCUGGGUUAACACUGACGCUCAGGCACGAAAGCGUGGGGAGCAAACAGG